UUUAGGAAUCAGUGAACUAAAAUGGACUGGAAUGGGUACAGAGAAGAUUAGCAUGACCCCUGAGCAAGAAUGACAGACAAAUUUGUGAAAUGUCCCAUAUUUUU
ensembl:snRNA U6 U6 spliceosomal RNA